CAGCAGUAGGGAAUCUUCCGCAAUGGACGAAAGUCUGACGGAGCAACGCCGCGUGAGCGAAGAAGGUCUUCGGAUCGUAAAGCUCUGUUGUCAGGGAAGAACAAGUGCCGUUCGAACAGGGCGGUACCUUGACGGUACCUGACGAGGAAGCCACGGCUAACUACGUGCCAGCCGCCGCGGUAA
rnacentral:rRNA from 1 species